UGCAAGGGCACUCUGUGUUAUACAUAAAUAAUAUGUUAGUCACAAUUUGUUACCUUGCUACAUUAUAUCUACCAAACCCUAUUCCGUGCAAUUUAUAUAAUUAUUGCCUGGUCAUAUUGGUAGGUACAUAA